GCCAGCAACCAUAUCACCCUGCAACUAACAUCUGGCAGCCCAGUGAAGCUCAGUAGGUGUGAGCCUGAUCAGUACCUGGAUGGGAGACCUCCUGGGAAAAACUAAGGUUGCUGCUGGAA
rfam:Lepisosteus oculatus linkage group LG4, whole genome shotgun sequence.